rnacentral:pre_miRNA from 2 species
GCAAAUUGAGGUAGUAGGUUGUAUAGUAGUCUCACUAAAAUUAACAUACUAUACAACGUGCUAGCUUUCUUUGC